GGGCCCGUAGCAUAGCAGGUGGUGCACUCGGCUGAUAACCGAGAGGUCAUGCGUUCGAAUCGCAUCGGGCCCA
rnacentral:tRNA from 2 species